rnacentral:lncRNA from 1 species
GCCGCAUCAAGCACAGACAUAUCGGUGCCUGCCCUGAGGGUAAAGACAGUCUUCAAAUGGGUGGACAGCAACGCUGUAUGUUUUGCCUGCAUACAGCACAUAUGUGCCUGCUACUUGCUGAUGCCAGAGGAAGGAACUGGAAGCCCUGUAUGUGGAGUUACCAUGUGGGACUUGGAAACAGCAUUCAGAUUCUCUGCAAGAGCAACAGGUGCUGGUAGCUGCUGAACCAUCUCUCGGGCUCAUCUUUGACUUUCUGAAUCAAUGGUUUUUCAGGGGGUGGUUUCCCUCUUCUGAGAAGUGACACAUUUAUAUUUUUAAAGAUUUAUUUUAAUUUAAAUUAAGUUCAUGGGAUCAAAGGUUUGCACAUAAAUAUAGAUGCCUUCAGAGUGCUGAAAAGAUUGGAUCUCCUUGAGCUGAAAUUACAGGCAGUAAUGAGCGAAGUGCUAAGAACUGAACUCAGGUCCUCUGCAAGAGCAGCAAGCUCCCUUAGCCACAGAGCUCUCCCUCAUUUCUAAUACAUAAAAUAAAUUAUCCAUACUCACAUUAUAUUGACAUAAGGAUCUUCUGUACAUUUUUGUUUAUAUUUUUAAUUACAUCUAUUGAGUGAAUGCUCAGUAACUGCUGGUCCUACGUGGGACAUCAAAGGACAACUUGUGAGUGUUGAUUCUCUUCUUCUAUCACAUAGGUCCCAGGAAUUAAAUACAAGCUGUCAAUCUUCGCAGCGAGUACCUGGGCCAGGUUGACUCAUCUCGGUGAGGCCCAAAGUGCAGGGGUUUUCUCAUCUCGUUUCCUGAGUGUUGAGGUUCUAAGUGUAUGUCACAAUGCCUGACUAUUCUUUUAUUUUUUCUCCUCCGCUGAAAUAGGAAUGACUGAAAAGAACAAAAAGAAACACCAGAAACUUUGAGAAAGCUGAAUUUAAGGUGUCACCUUGGUGUCUGAGAGCCAGUUCUGAGCAGCAGGUUGUAUGGAAAGUUUGAGAACAUACUAUAGGGGCUAAGUUCAAGAUCUGCAGUAGAGAGCUGGCUGACUGCCUAAUGGUAGUCAUAAGAAUCAAACACAGGCCUGCACCAGGCUUCUGUGUAUGUUAUGGUUGACAGCUUGGUGUCUGAGGGACUCCUAACUGUGGGAACAGGGUGUGUCUCUGACUCUCUUGCCAGCUCUUGGGACUCUUCUCCUAUUUGGUUUCCUUGUCCAGUCUAGAUAUGGUGGUGUCUGCCUUGUCUUCUUGCAUCUUGCUUUGUCCUGGUUGGCUGCUGUCUUU